rnacentral:rRNA from 1 species
CUGCUGCCUCCCGUAGGAGUUUGGUCCGUGUCUCAGUACCAAUGUGGGAGGUUAACCUCUCAGUCCCCCUAUGUAUCGUUGUCUUGGUGAGCCGUUACCCCACCAACUAACUAAUACAACGCAUGCCCAUCCAUUACCACCGGAGUUUUCAACCCAAGAAGAUGCCUCCCUGGAUGUUAUGGGGUAUUAGUACCGAUUUCUCAGUGUUAUCCCCCUGUAAUGGGUAGGUUGCAUACGCGUUACGCACCCGUGCGCCGGUCGCCGACA